rnacentral:rRNA from 1 species
AUUGAACGCUGGCGGCAUGCUUUACACAUGCAAGUCGAACGGUAACAGGCCGCAAGGUGCUGACGAGUGGCGAACGGGUGAGUAAUGCAUCGGAACGUGCCCAGUCGUGGGGGAUAACGCAGCGAAAGCUGCGCUAAUACCGCAUACGAUCUAUGGAUGAAAGCGGGGGACCGUAAGGCCUCGCGCGAUUGGAGCGGCCGAUGUCAGAUUAGGUAGUUGGUGGGGUAAAGGCUCACCAAGCCAACGAUCUGUAGCUGGUCUGAGAGGACGACCAGCCACACUGGGACUGAGACACGGCCCAGACUCCUACGGGAGGCAGCAGUGGGGAAUUUUGGACAAUGGGCGCAAGCCUGAUCCAGCAAUGCCGCGUGCAGGAAGAGGGCCUUCGGGUUGUAAACUGCUUUUGUACGGAACGAAACGGUCCUGGUUAAUACCUGGGGCUAAUGACGGUACCGUAAGAAUAAGCACCGGCUAACUACGUGCCGGCAGCAGCCGCGG